UCUGUACACUCACGGCUGCUCUGCAGAUUAUCAAUCUGACACACACACACACACAUUUCAAUGUCAUUUUCAUCAUCAUCACACACACACAAAUCAAAUCAAAUGUUAUUAGUCACAUGCGCCAAAUACAACAGGUGUAGACCUUACAGUGAAAUGCUUACUUACAAGCCCCUAACCAACACUGCAGUUUAAAAAAUACGAAUAAGAAUAAGAAAUAAAAUGAACAAGUAAUUAAAGAGCAGCUGUCACGUCCUGGCCAGUAUAUAAAGUUAAUUGUUUUGUAGUUUGGUCAGGGCGUGGCAGAGGGUAUUUGUUUUAUGUGGUUCGGGGUGGUGUGUUUGUUAAAAGGGUGUUUGGUUUAGUAUUUCCGGGUUUUGGUUUAUGUCUAGGUAGUUCUAUGUGGAGUCUAGUGAGUGUAUGUCUAUGUUUGGUUAAUUGGGGUUGGGACUCUCAGUUGAAGGCAGGUGUUGUCUAUCUGCCUUUGAUUGAGAGUCCCAUAUAUUAGGGUGUGUUUGUGUUUGUGAUUUGUGGGUGAUUGUUCUGUGUGUAAGCCGUAUGCUUUACCAGACUGUUUGUAGUUGUUCGUUCGUUUCGUUUUGUUAUUUUGUAUGUUCAUUUUUGUAGUUAAUAAAAAUCAAGAUGAGCAUUCACGUACCUGCUGCGUAUUGGUCCUCCUUCACCGACAACAACCGUGACAGAAUCACCCACCACCAAAGGACCAAGCAGCAGAGGAAGGAGCAGACGGAGUUCGAGUUGGACUGGCGGGAGAAGUGGACUUGGGAGGAAGUUCUGGACGGGGCCGGACCCUGGCAUCAGGCUGGGGAUUAUCGCCGCCCGCAGUGGGAAAUUGAGGCAGCCAAGGCAGAGAGGCGGUGGUACGAGGCCAGAGUGGACGCGCUGAAGGAGAUGCACGAGAGGCACCCCCAAGAACAUUUUUUGGGGGGGCACACGGGUAGUUUGGCUAGGCGUAAGAAGAGCCGGAAGCCAGCUACCCGUGGUUAUAUGGAGGAGCGUAUGGGGUGGAGAGCGCUAUGUUUCGCUGAGAAGCGCACUAUCUCACCCAUACGCACGCACAGUCCGGUGCGAGUUAUUCCAGCCCCUCGCAGGUGCCGUGCUAGGGCGGGCAUCCAGCCUGGUAGGAGGAUGCCUGCGCAGCGCAUCUGGUCGCCGGUACGCCUCCGAGAACCAGGCUACCCAACUCCCGCUCUACGCACGGCUACCAUCAGGCCCCUGCACAGCCCAGUCUGCCCUGUACGAGCACCCCGCUCGUACAGGGCUACUAGUUCCAUCCAGCCAAGGCGGGUUGUGCAGGAGGUAAGAUCUAGACCGGCUGUGCGCCUCCAUAGCCCUGGGUUUCCAGCUCCUGUCUCUCGUGCGGACCCGGAAGUGCGUCCACCCUGUCCGACUCGUCCUGUUCCCGCUCCCCGCACUAAACUGCAAGUGCGUAAACCCAGCCUCGCCAGUCAACAGUCAUCAUCAGAGCUGCCCGCCAGUCAACAGUCAUCAUCAGAGCUGCCCGCCAGUCAACAGUCGUCGGAGCUGCCCGCCAGUCAACAGUCGUCGGAGCUGCCCGCCAGUCAACAGUCGUCGGAGCUGCCCGCCAGUCAACAGUCGUCGGAGCUGCCCGCCAGUCAACAGUCGUCGGAGCUGCCCGCCAGUCAACAGUCGUCGGAGCUGCCCGCCAGUCAACAGUCGUCGGAGCUGCCCGCCAGUCAACAGUCGUCGGAGCUGCCCGCCAGUCAACAGUCGUCGGAGCUGCCCGUCAGUCAACAGUCGUCGGAGCUGCCCGUCAGUCAACAGUCGUCGGAGCUGCCCGUCAGUCAACAGUCGUCGGAGCGGUCAGACUGCGCUGAACUGCCGGAGCGGUCAGACUGCGCUGAACUGCCGGAGCGGUCAGACUGCCCUGAACUGCCGGAGCGGCCAGACUGCCCUGAACUGCCGGAGCGGCCAGACUGCCCUGAACUGCCGGAGCGGCCAGACUGCCCUGAACUGCCGGAGCGGCCAGACUGCCCUGAACUGCCGGAGCGGCCAGACUGCCCUGAACUGCCGGAGCGGCCAGACUGCCCUGAACUGCCGGAGCGGCCAGACUGCCCAGACGGUCCCGAGUUGCCAGACUGCCCAGACGGUCCCGAGUUGCCAGACUGCCCAGACGGUCCCGAGUUGCCAGACUGCCCAGACGGUCCCGAGUUGCCAGACUGCCCAGACGGUCCCGAGUUGCCAGACUGCCCAGACGGUCCCGAGUUGCCAGACUGCCCAGACUGUCCCGAGUUGCCAGACUGCCCAGACUGUCCCGAGUUGCCAGACUGCCCAGACUGUCCCGAGUUGCCAGACUGCCCAGACUGUCCCGAGUUGCCAGACUGCCCAGACUGUCCCGAGUUGCCAGACUGCCCAGACUGUCCCGAGCUGCCAGACUGUCCCGAGCUGCCAGACUGUCCCGAGCUGCCAGACUGUCCCGAGCUGCCAGACUGUCCCGAGCUGCCAGACUGUCCCGAGCUGCCAGACUGCCCAGACUGUCCCGAGCUGCCAGACUGCCCAGACUGUCCCGAGCUGCCAGACUGCCCAGACUGUCCCGAGCUGCCAGACUGCCCAGACUGUCCCGAGCUGCCAGACUGCCCAGACAGCCUGGAACGGCCUGAGCCGGAGCCACCUCCAAAAAAUAGGUGGGUUGGGGGAGGGGGGGGGCAGUGCAAAUAGUCUGGGUAGCCAUUUGAUUGCAUGUUCAGGAGUCUUAUGGCUUGGGGGUAGAAGCUGUUUAGAAGCCUCUUGGACCUAGACUUGGCACUCCGGUACCGCUUGCCGUGCG
rnacentral:lncRNA from 8 species